rfam:[Clostridium] celerecrescens strain 152B rep_c77, whole genome shotgun sequence.
UCUGGUGCCGAUGCGCUUAGGGGAGACACCCGUUCCCAUCCCGAACACGAUGGUUAAGACUUAAGCGGCCGAUGGUACUAUGCUGGAGACGGCAUGGGAGAGCAGGUGGGUGCCAGAU